rnacentral:misc_RNA from 1 species
GAUGAAGAACGUAGCAAAAUGCGAUACUUGGUGUGAAUUGCAGAAUCCCGUGAACCAUCGAGUUUUUGAACGCAAGUUGCGCCCGAAGCCUUUUGGCCGAGGGCACGUCUGCCUGGGCGUCACGCAUCGCGUCGCCCCCCCACAAUUCUCCGCAAAGGGAACCUGUGUUUUGGGGGCGGAUAUUGGUCUCCCGUGCUCAUGGCGUGGUUGGCCGAAAUAGGAGUCCCUUCGACAGACGCACGAACUAGUGGUGGUCGUAAAAACCCUCGUCUUUUGUUUCGUGCCGUCAGUCGCAAGGGAAACUCUUGGAAAACCCCAACGUGUUGUCUCUUGACGACGCUUCGACCGCGACCCCAGGUCAGGCGGGACUACCCGCUGAGUUUAAGAAUAUCAAUAAGCGGAGGA